rnacentral:rRNA from 1 species
CCCUUAGAUGUUCUGGGCCGCACGCGCGCUACACUGACGGGGACAACGAGUUUAUAACCUGCGCCGGAAGGUGUGGGUAAUCUUUUGAGCCCCCGUCGUGCUGGGGAUUGACCUUUGUAAUUUUCGGUCAUGAACGAGGAAUUCCUAGUAAGCGUGAUUCAUCAGAUCGCGUUGAUUACGUCCCUGCCCUUUGUACACACCGCCCGUCGCUACUACCGAUUGAACGACUUAGUGAGGCCUCGGGAUUGACGCUCUGGGGGUGGCAACACCCCUGUUGUGUCGAGAACUUGUCCAAACUUGNCNGUUUAUNGGAAGUAAAANUCGUANCA